GUGAACUACUUCCUCUCUCUCUCUCUCUGUCUCUCUCUCUCUCUCUCUCUCUCUCUGUGUGUGUGGAGAGAGAGAGAGAGAGAGAGAGAGAGAGAGAGAGAGAGAGAGAGAGACCUUAUUG
rnacentral:miRNA from 1 species